GGGGCCGUAGCUCAACUGGGAGAGCGCCGGCUUUGCAAGCCGGAGGUUAGGGGUUCGAUCCCCCUCGGCUCCAC
rnacentral:tRNA from 1 species